AUGAAGACAUCCCUUCACACUGUAUUCCUAUUCUUGUGGCUGGGAAAGCCAUGGAGAGAAGGUCGAGCAACACGAGUCUACACUGAGUGUUCGAGAGGGAGACAGCGCUGUCAUCAACUGCACUUACACAGAUACUGCCUCAUCAUACUUCCCUUGGUACAAGCAAGAAGCUGGAAAGAGUCUCCACUUUGUGAUAGACAUUCGUUCAAAUGUGGACAGAAAACAGAGCCAAAGACUUACAGUUUUAUUGGAUAAGAAAGCCAAACGAUUCUCCCUGCACAUCACAGCCACACAGCCUGAAGAUUCAGCCAUCUACUUCUGUGCAGCAAGCAC